ACAAGUACCCGUGAGGGAAAGUUGAAAAGAACUUUGAAGAGAGAGUUCAAAAGGGCGUGAAACCGCUUAGAAUAAAACGGACGGAGCCGUCUGUGACCCGUCGGAAUCAGUCGAAUCGACGCGUGAAAGCGAGUGCGACGAGAAAACGGAACGAAAGUCCGGUCGUCUCGUAGUAAAUAGUAGCGCUCGUUCGAUGCAUUUCCGAAGGGUAAGCACCGCGACCGAUGUCGAAGGCUAGUGAAACCGUCGGAUUGAGGUCGAGCUCGUUCGCGAGUCUCGUUACCAGUCCUUCGGUAUGAAUAGAAUUCGCUAGACCCUAGCAUCGAGAAUAAGAUAGCGAACGUCGGUGAACUAUACGCUCACCCGAUACGAUGGAUGUGCGGCCGUUCGAUCGUCGCCUGCUUGCAGGUUACGGUUAGUAAUCAGGUUCGUAUCUGAAGUCGUGGGUGACGUUUCGAUGUUCAGGAGUCCGCGGUGUCCGAGUCGGUCACCCGUCCGACCCGUCUUGAAACACGGACCAAGGAGUCUAACGUAAGCGCGAGCUAAUGGGUGGAAAACCUAUAAGCGCAAUAAAAGUAAAAGCCGUUUCGGACGGCCGAGGUACGAUCCCGAAGAACCAAGUAUCUUCGGGCGCAGUACCGUCCCGUCCCGACCGCUUGUCGGUAGGGCGGAGAUAGAGUGCAUACGUUGGGACCCGAAAGAUGGUGAACUAUGCCUGAGCAGAGCGAAGCCAGAGGAAACUCUGGUGGAGGUUCGUAGCGGUUCUGACGUGCAAAUCGAUCGUCAGACUUGGGUAUA
rnacentral:rRNA from 1 species